rnacentral:lncRNA from 1 species
GUUUGGGGAAGCUUGCAUAACAUCUGCUUGCAACAUGCCUGAUUCAAACCAGCACUCCUCCCUCCUCUCAUGAACACUGAUGACUUUUUUAAAAGUAAAAUAAACUUUGUCAUUAUGCAAGCAAAAUUAUUUUCUGGGUGAUUAUCCAGAUCUGCUUGAAGCAACAGCCCACAACACGAAAGCAAUUUACAUUUACUAAAUAUUUUGAUCAUAGUUGUGUCCUUCUUUUGUUUUCUUUGUCCUUUUAUUCCUGUGUUCUGAUCUCAUUCCUGUGAGCCAUGCUCUUUAUGACGCCAGAGGGACUACUCUUGUGGAGGGAUUGAUGUCGUUAGAAAUCCCUGCUCACUGCUUCGAACACUGUAAUGCUUUAUUGUCAUUAUGUUAGCAUAGUAGAGAACAUGUAAAGACAUGCUUCAUUUUGGAUGUUUCCUCCCUACAUGGUUUUUGGCAGAUGGUUUUAUUUUCAGGUUUCUCUCUUGUCCUGUUGUUCUUACAAGGCACGGCCAGUAACUGACAUCUCAUGGCUUUCUGGCUUCUACGUGUGCUCCAUCAUCAUUCUUAGGAGGGACACUAUAAAUGAAUAAGCCAUAAAUAACAAGAUUUGCUUGUCAGUUUUGUUUGGAUUUUUUGUUUCUUAUACAGACGACAUAUUAACUUAUUAGAAAAGAAGAUGAAUGUAACCAAAACUUAUACUGAGAAGAGGCGAGGACAUCUGCUGUGGCAGGUACACCACUGACAAAUUGGAAGACCAUGAAAAAGUGCUUGAGAAGAAGAAUCCCUUUUGCUCAACGAGACUUGGGGAAUUAAGUCUUACUGGGACUCGGUGACAUAAAAAGACAUUAAAAGAUGAGCCAGGAUAAAGAAGAAUGGAAAUCCUUGUUUAUUCCAUAAGUAAGAUUUAAUGUCAUGGGAAAUACUUGGAGAUGGAAGAUUCUGUUGCCACCUGUUCCUGUUUUAUAAGGAAAUCAGGAACACAUGAUAACAAAAGAAAAAGUGCUUCAUCAUUUAUUAGAACUUUUGUAGAGACUUUCAUCCCAGUAGGGACCAGAGGGCUUUUUUCAGUGAAAUCCUAUUUGCUUCAAUCAUAGGCAAUUUAUCAGAGAUUACUUUGUAAUAUCUCUGAAUAGCUGUAACAUUCCAAAGAAUGGAAAUUAAAUCAUCUUUUCAGGACUCUACUUAUAAGCUCUUGUGUGCUUCUUUCUGUCAUGCUGUCAACUCAUCCUGGUUUCAGCUGAAUCUCAAAAUAAAUAGAUUCAGAAGAGAUUAUGCUUUUGUACGUGUGCUCUAUGUCCUUUCUUGAAAGAAUUUUAG